rnacentral:rRNA from 1 species
UACAGAGGGUGCGAGCGUUGUCCGGAAUCAUUGGGCGUAAAGCGCACGUAGGCGGCUUCUUAAGUCGGUGGUGAAAUCCUGGAGCUCAACUCCAGAACUGCCUUCGAUACUGGGAGCUCGAGUCCGGGAGAGGUGAGUGGAACUGCGAGUGUAGAGGUGAAAUUCGUAGAUAUUCGCAAGAACACCAGUGGCGAAGGCGGCUCACUGGCCCGGUACUGACGCUGAGGUGCGAAAGCGUGGGGAGCAAACAGG